UACGAAGGGGGCUAGCGUUGCUCGGAAUCACUGGGCGUAAAGCGCACGUAGGCGGCUUGUUAAGUCAGGGGUGAAAUCCUGGAGCUCAACUCCAGAACUGCCUUUGAUACUGGCGAGCUUGAGUUCGGGAGAGUGAGUGGAACUGCGAGUGUAGAGGUGAAAUUCGUAGAUAUUCGCAAGAACACCAGUGGCGAAGGCGGCUCACUGGCCCGAUACUGACGCUGAGGUGCGAAAGCGUGGGGAGCAAACAGGG
rnacentral:rRNA from 1 species